AGACCCCAGACCCAUUAUAGGGACCCCAGAGCCCCUACAGAGACCCCAGAGCCAUUAUAGGGACCCCAGAGCCCCUAUAGAGACCUCCGAGUCCUUAUAGGGACCCCAGAGCCCUUAUAGAGACCUCCGAGCCCUUAUAGGGACCCCAGAGCCCCUAUAGAGACCCCAGACCCAUUAUAGGGACCCCAGAGCCCUCCAGAGCCCCUUGCUGGGUCACAGCAGCUCUUCUCACGCCCAAACCCACCUUUCUGGUUGCAGCUGCUUUUCUUCUCUGUCUUCCCCUUCCUUCCCCAGGGAGCUUUGCCUUGUUCUUUGGCCAGGCUCCAGCUGCAGCUCAAGGGCAAAGCUGCAACUACAAUUCCCCCUUUGGGUUUUCACUUGAAAAACAAAGGCUUGGGCCAAACUGUGACCAGUCACUCGCUGAACACGAGACAUCAAACAGGGCACACAGAAUAAAAUGCAUCAAACUCUAAAUCAUGUUACAGUGACUGUCCACCCCAAUCUAGCACUGACAUUAAAAACAUUCAACCAACCAAAAAGACCUCCAAACAUCCCUUAGAUAGAGAAAAGCACACCAGGAACAAAUGCAAAAAGAAAAAUUCCAAACAAUGCUCAAUUAAAUAACCAUGGAUUGAUAGAAAACAUGUUUAGUGAACUUAAACCACUUAACUUCUACUUAACUUCUUCCCAUUAUUCUCCAUCAGAAAUUAACCUUAUUUAAGUUCUCCUUUUAACACUUCAUUAAAACUGACUUAUUAGGAAAUGGCUUGGAACCAAACUUCAUAACUUGAUGACUUCAGGGUUUGUGCUCCUUGACUUUGGCCUGAAGGUGUUUGUAACUCAGGCUUUGUUCUGGAGAGCUUUUCCCCAAUCUAAAAACCCUUCUGCAAAUGGGACUCCCUUCCCUCAGGGUUCAGUGUCCUCUGGUUUUCCUGAAGGCUGGGGGGGGAUCUGGGAGCCAAAUCCAAAGGGAUGCAGCCCAGCUCUGCACACACACACACACAUUUCCAGCUGGUCACAUUCUCACGGGGGCCACCACCACUCAACACAUUUGCACACAAACACCCCUCUGAGUUCCUGGCACUGGGUUUGAUGGACUAAGAAAUGAUCAGUCUGGUGGUUUGCCCUCAGAGGAGUAAGAUCCAAUGAUGCAUUUCUAUUUUUAUGACAAUAUAACCUGUAAAACACAAACAUAUUUCUGCUUCAUGUGCAAUUUAAAAC
rnacentral:lncRNA from 1 species